CCUACGGGUGGCAGCAGUGGGGAAUAUUGGGCAAUGGGCGCAAGCCUGACCCAGCAACGCCGCGUGAAGGAAGAAGGCUCUCGGGUUGUAAACUUCCUUUAAGAGGGAAGUGCAGAAGACGGUACCUCCUGUAUAAGCUAUGGCUAACUACGUGCCAGCAGCCGCGGUAAUACGUAGGUGGGCAGCGUUGUCCGGAUUUACUGGGUGUAAAGGGCGUGUAGCCGGGCUGACAAGUCAGAUGUGAAAUCCCGUGGCUCAACCACGGAAUUGCAAUUGAAACUGGCGGUCUUGAGUAUCGGAGAGGCAGGCGGAAUUCGUGGUGUAGCGGUGAAAUGCGUAGAUAUUAGGAAGAACACCAAUGGCGAAGGCAGCCUGCUAAACGGCAACUGACGGUGAGGCGCGAAAGCGUGGGGAGCAAACAGGAUUAGAUACCCCAGUAGUC
rnacentral:rRNA from 1 species